CUAGAUGAUUGGAUAGCUGCCUUUUAAGGAGGAAAGUCCGGACUCCAAAGAGUNACAAUGCCGGGUAAUUACCGGCAAGGGAAACCUUAGGGAAAGUGCCACAGAAAAUAUACCGCCAUUUUAUUUGGUAAGGUUGAAAAGGUGAGGUAAGAGCUCACCGCAUUAAUGGUAACAUUAAUGGCAUGGUAAACCCCAUUGGGAGCAAGUCUAAAAAAGCAUAGUCAUUGAUUGACAGACGAACUCUUCGUUUUGCUAGGUAAGACGCAAAAAUUAAUUGGUAACAAUUAAUUAAGAUGAAUAGCUAUCACCUAAUUUUGGCACAGAAUCCGGCUUAUAGAUCAUCUAGUUUU
rnacentral:RNase_P_RNA from 2 species